GAGCAAGAUCUAUACUUUUGAACCAGUGGUUACUUUAUAUUAAAAUCUGAUAUAAUAUCCUUAGUCAUCUACUUUAGAUAUUAUCUCCCUCUCUGGGAAAUGAUAGCAUUAAAAUAUCUCUCUUCCUCUUGUAUUCCUUUCCUCGCGCUUAUCGCCCCGUGUGCUGGAGUUCUCUCUCCUUAGUGUCUGUCCUGUGUGGACUCGUGAGCUGAUCAUUCUGUUACUCCAUCUGUCAGCUGUUAAGUGGUGUCGACUCCCAGCUGCCAGAGAGGAGGCGGUCGGCAAAGGUGCUCCACUCUCCACCGAGGGGCUUCUUCACUCGUGUCGUUUCUAACUUCUCAAUGCACAGAACAUUCCCCUGUGGCUGCCACUUUUUCUUUCUUGCCUUCGUUUUAGUCUCCGUUUCACUCUUGAAUACAAUCAGCUCUCACCAUCGGUCCUUUUGCCAUCACUUCCCAGCUGUGUGUUGGCAAGUGCAUUUCGUUCAUUUAUGGAUGCUAAGAAAAGGGCUCCUGGGAACAACAAUCCCUAAAAAAAUAUGCCACUAGCCAGAUACACUGUGUCACUUUGCUAGGGACAAAAUGAAACGAUAAAGCGCAUUUUCCCUUUAAAUUUCAGCCUGUGACUAGGGGAGAAAAAUGCCUUCCAUCGUCUGAAGGCGUUACUGAUCUCUGAGAAGGUCUUCUGGAACAAGUGUUAGAGUGUUGCAUCACUUGGGAUUCUACUCUGACUAUCCUACAGACAAGCAACAAGACUGACACGAUACGCCACACGUGAAGGCACGAGACAAAAGCACUUGACAGCAGAAACCAUCACGUCCCCACACGGAGACUGCCCGGUGCCACGCCUGCUGCCCAGGCUCUGCUUCCGGGACCGCUGGGAGCUCCUGCCGACGGGGACGCCCGCACGGCACUUUCUGGGCCAUUGGCCGGUGGUCCACCACGCACAGCUGCAUCUCACCAGAUCUAAGAUGCCGGCUGUUGCAAGCUCUGUGGUCGCUAAGGAAAAACAAAAAGCACAAGCAAGCAUACUGACAAAGGCGUCCUGCCCACGCUGACACGACGUGUCCCGGCUGAGCUGACAGAGGUCUGGACGGAAGCCGUGCGUCUCACACCGGGUGAAGGAGGGCUCACUGGCUUUCAGCAGAUAAUCUCUGGGACUUUUGGACCCUAACCAGGCAGGGACCAGGCGAGGGAGACUGGGCACAGACAGGCAGGGAUGCCGCUGACUGCACAGCACAGACAAGGGCAUGGGUGUGGGGGCCUGCGUGCUUAAUGCUUCAUGAGCGCACAAAUAUGCUGACUAUGGACUGUACAAAGGACUCAGAGAAGUGCACGGGAAAAUGGAGAUACAGUGAGGUUGGGGGCAGACGUCUGGCACAGCGGUGAGGAUGCUGCUUAGACCCCUGCUUCCUAUACCGGAGCACCUGGGUUCAGAUCCGACUCCACUUCUGAUUCUAGAUUCCUGCUGAUGCACACCUGGGAUGUGGCAGGAGACGGCUCGGUGGCUGGGUUCCUGCCACUCAUGUGAGAGACCUAGGUUGAGUUCCCAGCUGCCUUUUUAACAAUAAACUUUAUAGGGGCCGGAGCUGUGGCACAGUGGGUUAACGCCCUGGCCUGAAGCGCUGGCAUCCCAUAUGGGCGCCGGUUCUAGUCCUGGCUGCUCUACUUCUGAUCCAGCUCUCUGCUAUG